AUUCUGCUUCUUAUCUUAUUUAUGUUGUUGUUGAGUCACUCGGGUUUUCACGGGGGAAGUCUCGAGUGAUGAUUAUUAUUGUUGUGUUAUUGUUAGGUGAACUCCUCGUCUUAGAUUGUUUGUGGUUGGGAUGGCGAGGGUUGUAUUUGUUAGUUGGGGCCCUGGCUCACUGAGUGACAUUAGGUUACUCAUUAAACUCACCUAUUGUUGCAGGAAACCUUAGUGGGAGACCGGGUAGCAUGGAAGCUGGACGUUAGGAGCACCAGAAGUACUUUUGCCUUUCCUUUUGUAAAACGGCACUAGUUAAAGUCUUUGACUCGAUAUUGGCACUAGGCCUGGAUCCAUCUGUAAUAUUUUACUUGUAACGAAUCUUUAUUAUAUUUUAUAAAAGUGAUGUUUUAUAUUCGUUACAAUGGUUCUCUGAUAAAUAGACUUGUCCGGUCUAAACACAACGUUAGGUUUAAGUACGGGUUGAAAAGCCUUAGGCCGCGAUCUAACGGAACCGUUAACUCAUAGUACGGGUUGCAAAGCCUUAAGCCAUGAUUUAGCGGGACGUGUUAGUGGAUGAACUGGUCGAUGUUGCGGAUUAAGUUCUGGGACUUUGACUGGAUUGUCCCUAGCCCGUCAUGUAGCGCUUUCGGACCAUGGUGUUGGGUUCGACGGUCGGUCAUGUUCUUGUUUGAUUUUUGGCUGGCCGGUUGGCCUUUCAUCUCCAACCCUUGGUGUGGGUCGUCCGUCGGUCAUGUUCUUGUUUGAUUGUUGGCCGAUGGCUCGACCUAUGCCUAGGACGGUUCGGGGGUGUUACAGUCGGGGGCAUUCGUAUUUCAUAGUCAGAGGUGAAAUUCUUGGAUUUAUGAAAGACGAACAAGUGUGAAAGCAUUUGCAAAGGAUGUUUUCAUUAAUCAAGAACGAAAGUUGGGGGCUCGAAGACGAUCAUAUAACCAUAAACGAUGCCGACCAGGGAUCAGCGGAUGUUUCUUUUAGGACUCAGCUGGCACCUUAUGAGAAAUCAAAGUUUUUGGGUUCCAGGGGAGUAUGGUCGCAAGGCUGAAACUUAAAGGAAUUGACGGAAGGGCACCACCAGGAGUGGAACGUGCGGCUUAAUUUGACUCAACACAAGGAAAUUUACCAGGUCCAGACAUAGUAAGGAUUGACAGACUGAGAGCUCUUUCUUGAUUCUAUGGGUGGUGGUGCAUGGCCGUUCUUAGAGCGAUUUGUCUGGCUAAUUCUGUUAAAGAACGAGACCUCAGCCUGCUAACUAGCUACGUGGAGGGCAUCCCUUCACGGCCGGAUUCAUAGAGGGACUAUGGCCGUUUAGGCCAAGGAAGUUUGAGGCAAUAACAUGUAUGUGAUGCCCUUAGAUAUACUGGGCCGCACGCGCACUACACUGAUGUAUUCAACGAGUUCACACCUUGGCCGACAGGCCGGGGUAAUCUUUGAAAUUUCAUCAUGAUGGGGAUAGAUCAUUGCAGUUGUUAGUCUUCAACGAGGAAUUUCUAGUAAGCGCGAGUCAUCAGAUCGCGUUGACUACGUCCCUGCCCUUUGUACACAUCGCCCGUCACUCCUACCAAUUGAAUGAUCCGAUAAAGUGUUCGGAUCGCGGUGACGUGGGUGGUUUGCCGUCUGCGACGUCGCGAGAAGCACUAAACUUAUCAUUUGAGGAAGGAGAAGUCGUAACAAGGUUUCCGAAGGGAACCUGCGGAAG
rnacentral:rRNA from 1 species